AUUCUAUAUUUGGAAAUUGAGUAUAAUCUUAAGUGAUAUAUAAGAUAUAAGUCUCACCAUUCAUUGUUAAUUGGUUUUUAGUUGGAAAGUCCACAUUUAAUAUGGUAUUAGAGUGUAAUCCGCACAUAUUCAACUUAAUCCACAUCGGUCCGACCCAAUAGUUGUUCUGUCAAUCUAUAUUUGAACAUACCGAUAUCAAUUAGUAGAAGAGUCAUCAACUUGAGGAGGCGUAUUCAGGAUAACAAUAAGCCACAUUCAAAUUUAAGUUAGAUCUUAAGUGAUAUAUAUAAAUUAUAAAAAAUUUCACUUAUUGCUAAUUGGUUUUGAAUUAGAAACUCUCGAUCUAAUAUAUUGUUUUAUAAGAACUAAGAAGGCAUACAGUUUUGUUUUGUUUUGUUUUUAU
rnacentral:sRNA from 1 species